AAAGCUAAAAGUUGUGUACUGUWAACCUUCAAAGUUAAUAAAAUUAAGCUUUU
rnacentral:tRNA from 1 species